UGUUGUCACCUAUGAUUAACCUGUCACAGAAUGGGUAUAAAAGUGCUCAGUCUUCUUCCAUCCCUUCAGCAACUUCUCACUAUCAGGCACUUGCUCUUGAUCUCCAGUUGACUAGAUUCAUCCCCAUCACUCAACAUGUCUGGUUGCUGGUCAUAUUGUGAACCUACUUGCGCCAUUCCAUCCUGUGCCUCCGCUCCGACAAUUGGCCUUGGGCCAUGUGGAGUUGGUGGCUAUGGAGGCGGCUAUGGAGGCAGCAUUGGUAGCGGCUAUGGAGGAGGCGUUGGUGGUGGCAGACUUGUUGGAGGUGGCGGCGUGCCAGCAAGCAGUCUCGGAAUAUAUCCUGGGGCCAAUGUUGGAUGCAUCAGCCAGGUCCCACCAGCAGAGGUCGUGAUCCAGCCACCUUCCUUCACUGUGACCGUCCCAGGACCCAUCCUCUCUGCCAGCUGUGACCCCGUGUCCGUUGGAGGCUACACUCCAUGUGCUGAUGGAUAUUAUGGUUCCGGCUAUCCUUACAGAGGAUACCUUGGGGGUGGCUACAAAGGUUCUGGCCGGUCAAAACGUGUCUGUGGAUAUCCCUGUUAAACCCAGGAAGACUAGAGCCAGCCAUGUUUUUGAAAACCAUCAUAUGGCCACUUGACAAAUGUUAUGGACCAUUCCUUCAGAAAUGCUGAGCAUCUGCAGUUCCAACAAAUGGGUGUGACAAUGGGGGGUGCUCAGCAUCUCUGAAGAUGAGAUUUAUCUGUGACUUACACUGUGGGUGGGCAUAGCCAAUUAUGAUGUUCUCCAAAUGUUGUUGAGCUACAACUUCCAUUAUCCCUGACCACUGCAGUCCUGGUAGCUGGAGCUGAUGGGAGUUGGAGUCCAACAACCACUGGAGGGCACUAUGUUGGCUAGCCCUGCACUAUGCUUCUCCUGAGAUGUAUAUUUACUUUUCUUUGUAAAGUUCUUUCCUUACACCUGUGCAAUUGCCUUUACUAAAACCAUGUCCCUACUUCUCUGUAAAUGCAAUGAUUAUGGUGAGCAAUUCAGUGUCAUUCAUAAUUGUUGGUUUUGUUGCAUCGAAAUGUCAUUCAGCUUGAACUGAGUGUGGAUCCUUGUGGUUUAGUUCUUUCACCUUUCCAAUAAACCUUUUCUUGCAUCAGAA